UCAGCUCCUGACUAGCCACCGACCGGACCGGAUACAGGACAUCCCAGAAAUCGCCCGUUGCAGCUUGGGGACCCUGGUUGGGCCCAAAAGCUGGGUGAAUUUUGCACGAUCCUGGUGGGUUUCUGAGGACAGAGACCAAUACCGGAGACGACGGGCCGAGUGCUGGGGAGGAGGCUCUAGAGAGGAGUGCGCCGCGUGCUGAUCCUCCUGGUCAGUCAGCCGGCAUCGAAGUGGCCACUAUUACCCAGUUCACUCCUGGAGGCUCACCUUUGUGUUCCAUUACUUAGGAUAGUAUCCAGCACAUGAUGGGCACUAAAAAUGACUUGCAGGAUGAUUAGGAAAUUAUUGAAUAAUUUCUGAAAUUCAUCUGAUGAAUGUACUCCUGAGGUGGAUACUCUGCAGAAUUUGCCCUGAUAUUUCUGAUUUCUUGCAAGCUGUUCAGAUUUGUGAGCAGCAGAAUUUUGACUGCUAUGGACUUGGCUGACUACUCCGGCCCUGGGCAUUGCUAUUGUCAGAAGAUGCUCUGGA